AGUGAACGCUGGCGGUAGGCCUAACACAUGCAAGUCGAACGGCAGCACAGUAAGAGCUUGCUCUUACGGGUGGCGAGUGGCGGACGGGUGAGGAAUACAUCGGAAUCUACUUUUUCGUGGGGGAUAACGUAGGGAAACUUACGCUAAUACCGCAUACGACCUACGGGUUAAAGCAGGGGAUCUUCGGACCUUGCGCGAUUGAAUGAGCCGAUGUCGGAUUAGCUAGUUGGCGGGGUAAAGGCCCACCAAGGCGACGAUCCGUAGCUGGUCUGAGAGGAUGAUCAGCCACACUGGAACUGAGACACGGUCCAGACUCCUACGGGAGGCAGCAGUGGGGAAUAUUGGACAAUGGGCGCAAGCCUGAUCCAGCCAUACCGCGUGAGUGAAGAAGGCCUUCGGGUUGUAAAGCCCUUUUGUUAGGAAAGAAAAGCAGCAGGUUAAACUGCCGCUGUUAUGACGGUACCCAAAGAAUAAGCAACGGCUAACUUCGUG
rnacentral:rRNA from 1 species